GGUUGUGGCGGCGAGCAAUGCGGGGACGCAGGAAGGUAGAUGAUCCCAGGCGAUGGUUGUCCUGGGGUAAGCGAGUAGGGAGAGGCCCAGGUAAGUCCGGUCCUCACGAUCCUGAGACGCGACGCCGAGCCGAAUCAGGCGAAGUCAUUGAUCCUAUGCUGCCAAGAAAAGCCGCUAGUUAGCACGUGUGGUGCCCGUACCCCAAACCAACACAGGUGGAUAGGUAGAGAAUACCAAGGCGAUUGAGAUAACUCUGGUUAAGGAACUCGGCAAAAUACAUCCGUAACUUCGGGAGAAGGAUGACCCCAUUAGGGUGACGGGACUUGCUCCCUGAGCUCGAAGGGGUGGCACAAACCAGUGGGAAGCGACUGUUUACUAAAAACACAGCAGCGUGCGAAGCCGUAAGGCGCUGUAUACGCUGUGACUCCUGCCCGGUGCUGGAAGGUUACGGGGAAGGGUUAGCCCUUGAGGCGAAGCUCUGAACCUAAGCCCCAGUAAACGGCGGCCGUAACUAUAACGGUCCUAAGGUAGCGAAAUUCCUUGUCGGGUAAGUUCCGACCUGCACGAAUGGAGUAACGACUCCCCAACUGUCUCAACCAGAGACUCAGCGAAAUUGAAGUACGAGUAAAGAUGCUCGUUAGCUGCAGAAGGACGGAAAGACCCCGUGGACCUUUACUAUAGUUUGGUAUUGGUUCUUGGUCUGAGUUGUGUAGGAUAGGUGGGAGACUAGGAAGCAUUGGCGCCAGUCAGUGUGGAGUCGUCCUUGAAAUACCACCCUUCUCAUACUGGGAAUCUAACUUCGACCCGUUAUCCGGGUCAGGGACAGUGCCAGAUGGGUAGUUUGACUGGGGCGGUCGCCUCCUAAAUGGUAACGGAGGCGCUCAAAGGUUCCCUCAGACUGGUCGGCCAUCAGUCGUUGAGUGCAAUCGCACAAGGGAGCUUGACUGCGAGACCGACAAGUCGAGCAGGUACGAAAGUAGGAGAUAGUGAUCCGGCGGUAGCGUGUGGAAGCGCCGUCGCUCAACGGAUAAAAGGUACCCCGGGGAUAACAGGCUAAUCUUCCCCAAGAGUCCAUAUCGACGGGAAGGUUUGGCACCUCGAUGUCGGCUCAUCGCAUCCUGGGGCUGAAGCAGGUCCCAAGGGUUGGGCUGUUCGCCCAUUAAAGCGGUACGCGAGCUGGGUUCAGAACGUCGUGAGACAGGUCCCAAGGGUUCGGCUGUUCGCCCAUUAAAGCGGUACGUGAGCUGGGUUUAGAACGUCGUGAGACAGUUCGGUCCCUAUCCUCUGCAGCCGAAGGAACAUUGACGAAGGCUGUCCCUAGUACGAGAGGACCGGGACGGACGGAGCUCUGGUGUGUCUGUUGUCCUGCCAAGGGCACGGCAGAUUAGCCACCUCCGGAAGGGAUAACCGCUGAAAGCAUCUAAGUGGGAAACCCGUUCGAAGAUGAGUGUUCCCAUGCGGUUAACGCAGUAAGGCCCGUGGCAAGACCACCACGUUGAUAGGCCGGAAGUGUACGCACAGCAAUGUGUUUAGCUGACCGGUACUAAUCGGCCGAGGGCU
rnacentral:rRNA from 1 species